AUGCCUUUGCCUGUACCUAGUGUUCCUUGGGAGGAUAUAUCUAUGGACUUUGUUUUAGGUUUACCUCGAACAAAGAAGGGGAGGGAUAGCAUAUUUGUUGUCGUGGAUAGAUUCUCGAAAAUGGCACACUUUAUACCAUGUCAUAAAAGCGAUGAUGCUGUUAAUGUUGCUGAUUUGUUCUUUCGUGAAAUUAUUCGCUUGCAUGGUGUGCCAAAUACUAUUGUUUCAGAUCGUGAUACUAAAUUUCUUAGCCACUUUUGGAGAUGUUUGUGGGCUAAGUUGGGGACUAAACUGCUUUUUAGUACUACCUGUCACCCCCAAACUGAUGGACAAACUGAAGUAGUCAAUAGAACGUUGUCUACUAUGCUUAGGGCUGUUUUGAAGAAUAAUAAGAAAAUGUGGGAGGAAUGA
rnacentral:rRNA from 1 species